UGAAGGUGUACAACAUAUCAU
rnacentral:siRNA from 1 species